rnacentral:lncRNA from 1 species
CUCGCGGGGGAUUCCCGCCCAAGGGCCGAGCCCGCCCGCGGAGCCGCCGCGGCGCCACGAGAUGGCGCCGUCGCCACAGCAAAAGCGCUCCUGAGCGGCGGCGCUUCUGGCGACCUUCCGAGAUGGUGCUAAACGCACCUCGAAAAUAAACAAACAAACAAAAAAGACGUUAGUUUCGUGGCCAGCAAUGUGGCAAGGAUCGUAGGGGGGAAAGAAAGGGGCUUUGAAAGAGUAAUCUGUAAUCUCUGAGUUAGCAAAUUGGCCUCAAGAAAGGAAAGCAAACGUGCAUGUGAGACAACCUGGGCAGCGCUGCGGUUCUGAAGAAAAACAGCCUUUUUCUGACUGAAGAGGAUGAAGGAAAACAAGAGCUUUGCAACAACCCCCUAUCACUGCUGUGCAAUCCCAAUUCAAGCCUUUCGUGGCUCUGGGAAAGUGGCAGGAGCUCUGCUUGACACCAUUAACCUUGACUGUCAGGGUUCUUUGUGGGUAUGAAGGGUUACAGUCCUUUUACUGACCUGUCCUGCUUCUGAGGAUAACCAAGCUGCCAGCAGCACUGCACAGAGGGGUAAGUGUUUGCAUGUGCCUCCUCCAGGAGUGAUCACCGUUGUGUACUUGCUUAGUACCAUGUUUCUGUCUUUGUUCAGGCCUCCACCCAGUGUAGGAGGGUCUCGGCUGGAACUCAGUGAGCCCCUUCCUGACUUCUUGCUGUCUGCCAUGUACUUCCAUCCAUGUGUUUGUUAUGUUAGCUGCUCUGGAUAAAAUAGCCCCUUUUUGCAGAAACCUGCUGUAUCUUUCAUUGUGUUAACUUUGCACCCUGUGUUUUAAUGCCAAGUCAGUUGUGUCCCCUGCCAUUUCACUUGCCAUUUCUGCUCAGCCUCUGGCUGCUCAAGAAACCCUUAAUGCUGGCCUGUAUUUACUGAUGAUGGAGCUUUUCAUGGUUUUGUGAAGAAGUGCAUGCUGCUUUUGAUCAUGGAGGGAAUUAUUGCAGGAAACAACUGCUGACCUUUGGAAAUCUUAAGCACGAAGCUUUCUUUUCGUCUGAGAUCUUAUUGGAGGUAAUUCUCAAAACUCACAGACAAGCUAUUCAUAG